rnacentral:lncRNA from 1 species
GUGAUCUGCUCAUCAUCAUUCGAGCGGUUGACUUUCUCAAUUAAAUCCUUCAAAUGACCCGGCAUGACUCUUGAACUACUUUCUGUUAUCUUGAGCAAGUUUUUCCGAUCGUCCCCUGGAUCCAGACCAUCUGGGAUAGAGGCUAGCCUUAUCCCACUCUGAGCCUCAGCCUCAUGUGGGAGUGCAGCCAGCAGUUUAGCAUGUAUGAAGUCAGAGUUAACAAAGGUGACCUUGAUCCCGUGAUCAGAAAUCCGGUUUGCAAGCCUCAUAAGAGGAGCAACAUGUCCUUGCGCUGGGAGUGGUAUAAUCAGCACAUGAGGUCGCCUGCCCAUGGUCCUUGCUAACUUGCCAACACUUCCACCCUUCUCUUUGCUCUGAUCCCAAGCUUCACUAAUACUGAUACUGUUUUAUUAUCCUGAGCCCUCCUUGGAACUGUAUUUAUGAAAUUGAGGUGCAAAACUUUUUUCCCUUUCAAAAAACAAAGGGAAUAUGAAGUCCUCGCUAGCCUUUUUAACAAUGAAAACUAGUGGAAGUUCACCGACACCAGGUCUGGAAAACCCUCGUCUCAGAAAUGCAAGGAAAGGGAAGAACGUGAAGAAUUUGAAGACCUUCACACUUGGAUCAACCCUUGUUUUCUUCUUUUCUCCUCACCUUUCACCUUUCACUCUCAACCGUCUGCCCACACAUGCUUCCACAUAGCCCUAGCUGCUGCAUUAUUGGCCUUAGAAACCAGCCGCCAGACCAGCCCAACAUGUGGGUUUGAAAAAAAUACUUUCCUGAGCUGGAACCCAUAUAUGGGCAAGCCCAACAAAGUCCAUCUCUGAUUUAUGAAUUUAUUUUAUUACCUCAAAGCUAUAGGUUUGUGGGUCUGGCCCACACUUAUUGUGGUGUAAUCUCCUAUGUGGUUAAUUUGUCUUUAUAGUGUCUUCUAUGGCUCUGGAAGCAUAUUUAAGAAUUUCAUUUAGUUGGCUGCGUUUCAUCUCACAGUUUUAUGACUGUUAACGUUUAAGACAAAUACGUAUCUCUGUUGUGAGUAAGCUUUUCAGGCAGUGUCCUGGAAAACUAAUAGAAUUUGGAGGACUGUCUGAUUGAUCCUAAAGAAUUUUAGCUGAGUACAAAUGAAAUGUGGAAUUUCCAUUAUUCUAAGUUUUAAACUUAUAUUUCACUUAACAACCUUUUUUUUUCCUGCAUUACCACCUCAUAUUGGAUUGUAGCCAUCUUUUCUGUCAGUUUUUUCUUCUUUUCCAGUGUUGCUGAUGCAUCAAGAUAUAUAUCUUUUGUUUUAUAUGAUGAGGAAGUCAUCAUUACGUUUUUCCUUCGUCUUUUUUACAUACAAACUCUGAUGUAGCUUGAAUCUCUUGUCUUUUGCAUCAUCAGCUGUAUUUGUCUGUUUCUGUUAUAAACAAGCCUGUAUUGAUGUUGAGCCCUCCCUUCUACUUUAUUUAAGUAUUUCAUACAUUAUCUGGAAGCUAAAGUCUGUGGCUCAUAUCCUUUGUCACUUAUCUUGGUAUUUUGUCUUUAUAAAGUGUCUUCUGUGGCUCUCCAUUACAAAGGGUUAUGAAAAAGAUGUGGUUGUAAGGGUAUUCUCUUCUUUUGUCCGGACCUCUUCUUUUGGUGGUAACUUUUGUUGAAAUCCAAAAAAAAUUCAAAGAGAAAAAGAGAAGAAAAAAAAAUGUAGGAUUUCUUGUUAUGAAUUCUCUUGAAAAUAGGUGCAAUACUAUUACAAUUUAAAUAGACCUAAUAAAAGAAGAUAAAGACUAUUUUACCCUUACUUCUAAAGAUAUAGAAAAUAAUUCCAACAUUGUAACUAAAUAAACAACAAAUUAUUUUUUUGCCCUUUAGAAAAUUUUCCAUCACAUAACUCCAAAACAAAUAAUUUUAUUUUUUUGUAUCCAAUUUCCUACUAUUAGAUUAAAGGAAUCAUUUCAUUCACUAUGAUGAAUAAAAAACAAAUAACUAUCAAACAAAAAAAAAGCAUAUAUGAAUAAAAGAAAACGAAUACGAAAUCAAAUACUAUGAUCAAAUUAGAAAAGAAUUAUGUCAUUUAUCUUGGUAUUUUGUCUUUAUAAAGUGUCUUCUAUGGCUCACCAUUGCCACUUAUCAAAAGUUUAAUUAAAAGAUUAUUUUUGCUCUAAUACCAGGUUGAAAUCCAAAAAACGAUUUAAAGACAAAAAUAUUGAGAAAAAACAAAAUUUAGGAUUUCUUUUAAAAAUAACUCCAACAUCAUUAGAAUUUAAAUAAACAUAAUAAAAGAAAAUAAAAACUAUUUUAAUCUUGUAGAAAGAAAGAAAAUAAUUCUAAUAUAGUAACUAAAUAUAUAAUAACUAAAUAAUACAUAAUUCUAAUAUACUAACUAAAUAUAUCAAUAACUUCUAAUACCUUUUAAGAUUGGAUACCGUAGAUGGGCCCUUUUAAAUAAUAUUUCUUUGAUGUGAUGAUGGGUUGGAUAUUUUAGUAAAAUAUAGUGGGACUUAUUUUGGUUCUUUGAUUAUGAACUAAUAAUUGGUGAUACUCCAAAUGCAAUAUUUGAGUGUAUUAAUUUUUGCUAUGAUUAUUUUAAAUUAUGGUUACAUCGUAGAGGUCUUUUUCACAAGUAUAAUUGAUUAUAAAUAUAAUUAUAAUUUUAUUGUAAGACAUUUGAUAAAACCUAAUACAUAAUACUUAAUGAUUUAAGAUGAGUUUAAGUUAAAUUAUAUUUAAGUCAUUAAAUUAAUUGAGCAAAUGUCUUCAAAUUAUUUUUAAUUUUAAGUUAUAAUAUUUAUUAUGUGUUAGGAAUUUUAGGCUAAUCCAAUCUAUGGUAAUCACCUUAGAGGGAGAGGGGCGGGAAGGGGGUGAAUAGCGUGAUAGUCUCUUUUCACAAAUUUAAACAAGUGAAUGAAGAGACAAUUAUAUGCAAGUAUAUAAUAAGCAAUAUAAAGACAAUUGCAUAUAAAUUAAAGAGUACGGAAGAGAGAAUGCAAACACAAGUGUUUAUAGUGGUUCAGCGCAACCCAACCUACAUCCACUCUCCUCUAGCUUCAAUCCCAAGCUUGAGUUUCCUUUAAUCCAAGGCUUCCAACCCAAGCCUUCAAGCAAUACAAUUGGAUUAUGGUUCCAAUUCACCCUCUUGGACUUUUGGCUCCAAGCACCCUUUACACUUCACAAGAGAUAUCCCCCUCUUGAAAAACUUUCUCUUAAGAAUUUACAAAUAAAAGAUCACACAAAAAUCCUAGCACAAGAACUUUAAGCUCAAAUGAUACAAGAGAAACUAGGAUUGAAUGGUGCACUAAAGAUAUGCAAGUUUUGAAAUAAUGGUGCACUCAAAAAUACUAUUCCAAGGCUCAAAUAUAAUUAAGAAAGAUUUGGGAAGGUUAAUCUUUUUAAACAAUGAAGUUUGGAGCCUUUUUAUAGAAGAGAAAAACCAAACUAGUCGUUUGGGGGUUUGACCGGUCGAGCUAGGGGUCGACCGGUUGACUAGCCGUUAGCAUUAAAUGCUUGGCAGGUGACCAUUAGCCUCAACCGGACCUCGACCGGACCUCGACCGGUCCUCGACCAAGAAGAGAAGGCCACUGGGAGAGAGAGAAACUUUUUGGCCUUCCUCAACCGGUCCUCGACCAGACGAGCGCAACCGGUCCACCGGUUCCUCAACCAGUUGAACCGGUUGAGCCAUUUUUUGGCUCAACACCCAAUCUUUUUCAACUUAAAACCUUUUAAAACAAGUUUGAAAGAUAUUUAACACAAGGUUUUAGUUGAAAACAUGAAAUCAUUCAAUUCUUAAGAUAUUUAAAACAAUAUUACUUUUGGAUGAUUUUGGUGCAUAAAUAAAGAAUGAAAUGCAUGAAGUCCUAGUGCACCAACAGCCUUACAAAGAGAUCUUAUGAAGCUUGGGUCUUGAAAAACUCUUCUCUUUGAGGUGGUCUUCUUCUUCAUGAUUUCUCCUUGACUUGAUUUGUCUUUGUGAUUGCCACUUUGGAGAUCGUUUUGCCUAAUCACACUUGAAAUAUGAUCAUUAGUUCUAAACCUUGUUUUGUUAUCAUCAAAAUCAAGAUUAACCAAACCAUGGUUUCACAUUAUGAUUAAUAAUUUAUGUGAUUAGGUCGUUAAGAUAAUUUACCUAAUAAAUUUCUCUUACUUAGAUAAUCUUAUGAGAAGCAAACCUUGGCAUUCACUCUCACCUUUUACAAAGCUUUACUUCCUUGAUUUUCCAAGGGUGCUAUCGCUGAAACAUGAUGGUUUUGGAGGCUAUGUUGUUGAAUGUCCCAAAACCAUAUUGGAUUAGUUUCACCAUCACUUAGAACUCUUGGGUUGGAGCCCAUUUGACCAUAUUAUUUUAUACUUAUUGUUAUAAAAAUUAGGCUAAUACAACCUAGAGUAAUCACCCUAGAGAUGGGGUGAAUAGGGUGAUGGUAUUAUUUUGUAAAUUUAAAUUAUAUGAAUGCAAGAAACAAUUAUAUGCAAAUAUAUAAUAAAACAAUAUAAAGACAAUUGCAUAUAAAAUAAAAGAGUAGGGAAGAGAGAAUGCAAACACAAGAUUUUUAUAGUGGUUUAACGUAACCCAGCUUACAUCCACUCUCUUCUAGCUUCAAUCCCAAGCUUAAGGUUCCAUUAAUUUAAGGUUUUCAAACCAAGUCUUCAAGCAAUACAAUUGGAUUAUGGUUUCAACCACUAUCUUGGACUUUUGGCUCUAAGCACCCUUUACAAUCUCCAAGAGAUAUCUCACUCUUGAACAACCCUUCAAGUGACACUCCACACUUGAGAAUCCCUAAGUGAUACUUCACACUUAGAUUUUUAAUCUCAAAGAUUUAAAGAAGAAUCCUAGUACAAAACUUUAAGCUCAAAUGUACAAGAAAAACUGGGAUUGAAAGGUGUACUAGUGAUAUGCAAGUUUUAGAACAAUGGUGCACUAAAAAAUACUCUUCCAAUGCUCAAAUAUAUUUAAUUAAGGUUUAGGAAGUUAAAACUCUUGAAACAAUGAAGAUUGAAGCUUUUUCAUAAAAGAAAAAAACCAAAUUAGGCAUUAGGGGUUCUUUCGGUCGAGCUCCGAUUCAAUCGGUUCACUAGCCGUUAGCAUUUAAUGCAUGACAGAUGACCAUUGGACCUCGACCGUCCCUUAACCACCCAUCGAUUGGACCUUGACUGGUUGAAAAAGCAUUCUAGAAUAAAUAUAAGGUUUUUGCACCAUUCAAUCGAUUGAGCUAAACGAGUCGACUGGUUUCUCGUCUGGUUCAACUGGUUGAGUCGUUUUUUGCUCAACAACCAUCAUUUUUAACUUAAAACCUUUUUAAAAGGUUUAGAAAAUAUUUGACACAAGGUUUUAGUUGAAAACAUGAAAUCAUCCAGAGAGAAGAACUCAUGGAAAAUAUAGAAUGAAUGAAACUAAGGGAUCAAGACACAUCCAAAGAAGGAUGAACAAUGAACCCCAAAAGAAGAUAGAAAACCCCUCACAAUCUAACCCAAUUUGUUUUAAGUGUGGUAAGGUAGACCACUAAUAAGAAAGAUUGUAAGGUUAAAAAGAAAAUUAAUAACUUAAACAUUUCAAAAGACUUAAAAGACAUGCUUUGCAAAGUAAUAUUAAACUCCUCAGAAUUUGAAUCAAGGACUGGUUCAAAUAAUGCAAGGAAAGGGAAGACCGUCCGCCCACACAUAUGCUUCCACAGCUUCACAAACAUAGCCCUAGCUGCUGCAUUAUUGGUCUUAGGAACCAGCCGCCAGACCAGCCCAACAAAUCAUAUUGGGUUGUAGCCAUCUUUUCUGUCAGUUUUUUCUUCUUUUCUAGGGUUGCAGAUGCAUCAAGAUAUAUAUCUUUUGUUUUAUAUGAUGAGGAAGUCAUCAUCACCUUUUUCGUUCGUCUUUCACAUACAAACUCUUAUGUAGCUUGAAUCUCGUCUUUUACAUCAUCAGCCGUAUUUGUCUGUUUCUGUUAUAAACAAGCCUGUACUGAUGUUGCUGAGCCCUCCCUUCUACUUUAUUUAUGUACUUCAUACAUUAUCUGGAAGCUAAAGUCUGCGGCUCAUUUCCUUUGUCACUUAUCUUGGUAUUUUGUCUUUAUAAAGUGUCUUCUCCCGAGAAAUCGGCGAUAUAUCGGCGAUUUUUCCCGCUUUCGAGGGGAUUUGAACCCCAAACCAAAAGAAUAUAUUGUGCACUAAACUUAUAUAUACUUAAACUCAUUAUAUAAAGAAAAUAUUAAAAGAAUAUUUUAAAGAGCAAAUUAAUUAUAAUUAUUUUAUAAUUAAAUACAAAAUUUUCUUUUAAUUGAUUACCAAAAAUAUAAAAAUUAUAUAAUUUUCUUCAUAAUGUUUUUAAUAUCAUUAAUAAUUAAUUAAAUAUUAAAAAAAAUUUAUAUAUAUAUAUAUAUAUAUAUCAUAAUUUAUUUUAUAUUGUUUAAUACAAUUAAAUUAAAUGGAUCAUAAUUUUAAUAUUAAUAUAUAUUUUAAAAUUAGACAUAUUAUAAUCAAAUAUCAUAAUAGUAGAUGUAAUUUAAUAAUAAAUGUACACUUAUAAAAUUCAUAUUUUUAUCGAUGCAUACGAUAUUAUUAUCAAAUAUGAUAAAUCAUGUUAUACAUAUAUCAAAAUUUUUCAAUAAAAUAACUUUAAAAUGUCUAUUAUACUUCUAAUUAUAUUAUUAUGAGGUUUUCCUUACAUUUUUAUGAGUUUUUAAUAAUUUUAAGUCUACCGAUAUUUUUUUCCAAAAUAUCCGCCGAUAUAUCUCCAAUAUAUCCGAUAUAUACGUAAAAUCGAAGUACCGAUAUUUUCAUCCUUGGUUACAUCUUAGAGGUUUUUUUUCAUAAGUAUAAUUGAUUAUAAAUAUAAUUAUAAUAUUAUUAUAAGACAUUUGAUAAAACUUAAUACAUAAUACUUAAUGAUUUAAGAUGCGUUUAAGUUAAAUUAUAUUUAAGUCAUUAAAUUAAUUGAACAAAUAUCUUCAAAUUAUUUUUAAUUUUAAGUUAUAAUAUUGAUUAUGAUUAAUAAUUUAUGUGAUUAGGUCGUUAAGAUAAUUUUUCUAAUAAAUUUCUUUCACUUAGAUAAUUUUAUGAGGAGCAAACCCUGGCAUUCACUCUCACCCUUUUACAAAGCUUUACUUCCUUGAUUUUCUAAGGGUGCUAUUGCUCAAACAUGAUGGUUUUGGAAGCUAUGUUGUUGAAUGUCCCAAAACCGUAUUGGAUUAGUUUCACCAUCACUUAGAACCCUUGGGUUAGAGCCCAUUUGACCAUAUUAUUCUACACUUAUUUUUAGAAAUUGUUUUGAAGUUAAAAAAAAAAAAGUUACAGUUUUUAUUUUCUAAAAACAAUGGUGUUUAGCAACUUUGUUUUUAAAAACACUUUUUAAAAAAUUUUAAAAAAAAAUUGGAUAAUUUUUUUUAAUAUUUCGAUUUUAUAAAAAAAAUCAUAGACUUAAUGUAUAUAAUAUUAAUUAAAUUUAAUUCAAGCCUUGUGUAGACCCCUUUUAUUGGAGGGACCCGGGGGGGAGAGUUUUUUUUUUUUUUUUCUCUCUCUCUUUUGGGCAUUUCUUUUUUUUAACAAAAGGGGGGGACCAACUGCAGGAGAGGAGGAGGAGCAGGGAUGGCCAUAAUUUGAGGGGUCAUGCCUGCUAAUGAGGACACAGGAGAGUGGGUGAGAGAGACAGGAGGGUCUUGAGGUUAGGAGGGAAGCUGGUUGGAGGUAGCCUGAAGGUAUGACUGCUAUGAAUGCUUGGGUUUUUCUUCAUUGGAGCAUAAUCUCUCUCUGUUUUUCUAGAUUUUUUUUUUAUGUGGAUCGUUUGGCUCUGUGUUUAGUUUUAUGGUUUAUGCUUGGUUGCUAUCUCCUUCAUUUUUCCAUGGGAUGCAUGUUUGAUUUAACUCACCCUCAUCUAAACCCAUUGAUUCAAACAUGUAAUAUGGCUUGGAUGGGUUCGUUUUAUCCUUUCCCAUUGUGCUCUAUUUGCUAUUUUCCCAUGUUCUCAAUGCCCUGCCAUGGUGAAUACCAUAGUUCUCCAUUUUGUCGGAGAUUUUAUACCGGAGAGCACCCACAAUCGCGGCCUCAGGUGCAGCCAGUGUUGGUGCUGGCGGGGGCAGGCGCUGGCUAGUGCUGACAGGCGCUAGUUGGUGCUGGUUGGUGCUGGUUAGUGUUGGCUGGUGCUGGCUGGCACUAGCUGGUGCAGGCGCUAGCGCGGCAUCCAGUGACGAUGCCGAUGCCACCCCAGGCAACUCAUUCCACACCGGCAACCUUUCUCCUUCUUCCACCUUGGGCUCGCCCAUUGAUGAUGGGUGUGGGACUGAGUUAGAGCCCAGGCCCGUUUGUGAGGGUGAGGAGCCUCAUGCCAGCCAUCUUCCUAGCCUAAGUCCACCUUAAGUUGGUGCCUUGGGCUUGCCCAUAUUGGUGACAGGUUUGGGCUUAAGUUGGAGCCCAGGCCCACAGUUGCUGAUGAAAGGCCCUUUUGCUCCCUAUGCUAUCCAUCUCCAUGGCCCAAGUCCAUGUUGGAUUAGCCCAUUUGGCCACAUUAUGUCUAAACAAGUUUUUGAAUCCCUAACCUUAGUAAAUUAUUAACUUAUUCAUGCUUUUUUUUAUUAUUAUUAUUUAUUCUUAUUUUAUCUUCACCAAUUUAGUUAGCUCAACUUAAAGACAAUUAAAAGAUAAAUUAUUAUUGUUAAUUAUAUUUUUAUCUUGAAAUUUACACGAUUCAAUUUCACUAGUUUAAACAUUAUGAUUGUCAACUAUUAUUAUUAUUUCGUACGUAUCUAUUCAUCAUCUUUCAAAAUCUCAAUCAUCAAAGUUAAAUUCUAAUCCUUCAAAAACCCCAUAUCUUAAUCUAAUAUUUCAAUAAUCCGUUUAAAUCUCGUUUUCAUCAAUUAAGAAUUAUUAUCAUAUAUUUAUCUAGUUAUUUGAAGUUUUACCCUUUCAAAAAUCCCAUAUCUUAAUUCAAUUUUUCAAUAGUUCGUUCAAACCUUAUUCGUCUAAAUGUUAUCUUCCUUAAGUAGAAUUAUUAUCAUAUAUCUAUUUAUUUAUUUAAAGUCUAAUUCCUCAAAAACCCAGCGUCCUAAUUUAAUUCUCGACCCUAAAAAUUCCACUAUUCUUUUUUAUUCGUCUAAAUGUCAUUUUCGUUAAUUAAGAAUUAUUGUCUCAUAUUUAUUUAUUCAAAGUCUAAUCCUUCAAAAAUCCAAUGUCAUAAUUUAAUUUUCAAUCCUAAAAAUUCCACUAUUCGUCUAAGUGUUAUUUUCGUCAAUUAGAAACUCGAUACUUGUUUACCUCUUUUAAAAAUCUCAAUCAUUGAACUUAAUUCUUGACCCUAAAAAUUCCACCAUCCUUUUUUUUAUUCGUUUAAAUGUUGUUUUCAUUAAUUAGUAUUAUUACCCCAUAUUAGUUUAUUUAUUUAAAAUCUAAUUCUUCAAAAACCUCAUGUCUUAAUUUAAUUUUUCAAUCCUAAAAAAUUCUACGAUUCGUUAAAAUGUUAUCCUCAUCAAUUAGCAUCAUUAUCCCAUAUCUAUUUAAAGUCCAAUCUUUCGAAAACCUCAUGUCCUAAUUUAACUUUCAAUCCUAGAAAUUUCGUUAUCCGCCUAAAUGUUAUUUUCAGUAGUUAGAAUUAUUAUCAUAUAUCUAUUUAUUUAUUUAAAGUCUAACUCUUCAAAAAUUCAACGUCUUAAUUUAAUUUUUAAUCCUAAAAAUUCCACUACUCAUUUUCUAUUCGUUUAAAAUAUUGUUUUCAUUAAGUAGCAUUAUUAUACCAUAUUAUCUAUUUAAUCUAACCGUUAAAAUUCAAUUCAUCAGAACCCGACUUCCAAAUCUAAUUUCCAACCUCAAAAGCUCCACCGCCCACAUAUCGUCGUUUAAUGAUUAUUUUCGUUAUCAAUGUUAUCCCAUCCACUCGCUUAUUCAGUUAUUCAUAUACCAAAGAUCUCAUCUGUAAAUAAAUUCUUAAGUUUUCAAUCUCUAAAUUCACAUCUUCAAAUCUCUAAAAUUCCAUCUUUCGCAAUUAUUUACCUAAACUCUAUUGUUUCACCAUCGCUAUUUCAUUCCUUUACUUAUUCACUCAUCCACUUAUCCCCUCAUUUAAAAUCCCGAACUUUCAAAUCAUUUUCAAGUUUCCAACCUCGUUCAAAUUUAAUUUCUAAAAAUUCUCAUUCUCACAUUUAAUUCCUGAAAGUCCAAUCUUCAAGUAAACUCUAAAAUCCCAAUUUUCUUUAAAUAACCCUCGGGACUCCAAUAUUUCAAAUGAACUUCAAAAAUCCAAUUUUCUCUCAAAUAGCUUUAAUUCCAUUCUGGCCUUCAAACAAUCUUCUGCUCCUCUUGAUUUUAAUAAGCCUGAAUGAAUUUUCCGUAAUUCCGAAUAAUGGAAUUUAUGGGAUUAAUUCAUGCAAUAUAAAUCGGGCUUUGGUGGGGGCCCAACAUAUGUGAUUUCCUUAUGAUUGAUUGAUUGUUUGCUUGAUUUAAUUAUCAUGCAUGAUUAAUUUUAUUCUACUCUAUGACAUGCUCGAAAUUAUUCCUUAAUUGUGCACUAACCUCACUUCUUGAUAGCGCUUUAUGGAUCACUACCCAGGUACGCAUCCACAUCCGCUCGGGUCAUUUUCUGUAUGCAUGUUUAGAUUCUCACAUGUGCAUGAUCACUCUGAGUAUUCAUUGAUUCCCUCAUCAAUUGUCAUGAUUGCUUCAUUUUAUUAGUAGAGACUCAACUUUAGGGACUUAGAAGGGUGCUACGGUCCUUACCGUACAUUCUUGAUAAGUAACCUGUCCCCCGAACCCGAUCCGGUUUUUCGUAGACCACUUUUUCCAAAUAAGGAGUCACACUUAGGGUUUUUUCUUUCUUAUUUUGUUUACUCUUUUAAAAAUAAAACAAAAAUAAGUGGCGACUCCAAGUCAUCUUUCUAGAAAACACCAUAAAAUCAAAUUUUCAAAUAAAAAAUGCGUUUCACCAUCGAGUGGGAAACGCAUGAGCCGAAAUGCGAGGUCCACACCUUGUUAAAAAUAAAAAUAAUUUUGUAAGAAAUAAAUAUAAGUUAUAGUUUAGAUUAUUUGUUAAAUAUGGGUCACUAUUUGGAUUUCAAAUUAUUUUUAAAGUUACUAAACUUAUUAAUAAAUUAAAUGGAAUAAGUCUUGCUUGAUGUGAAGUCUAUUUGUUUGGUAAAAAAAAAAAAAGGAAAUAUGAUUUCAUGCAAAAAAGAAAAAUAAGUUAUUAUGAAUUAAUUUUUGUCCAUAUAAUUCUUGUAUUAAUUGAAUCAUUAUUUGAGUUCUAAACUAUUUUUAAAAAAUUGUUGGACUGGUUGAUAAAUCCAAUACAUCAAGUUUUACUUGAUUUGAAGUUUAUUUGUCUACUAAACAGAUUUGAAAAAAUAUAAUUAUAUGUAACAAAAAAAACAUUGGAAAGUUAUUCAAAAUUGGAUUAGCUUUUAGUUCCAAGAUUUUCUAAUAUUAUUGGUUUUUUAGUCUUGAAUUGUUUUUAAAAAUUAGAAAACACAAAAAUGUUUUAAAAUUACAUGGUCAAAUAAACUAUUAGACCCUAUUUGACUUUCUGAUUUAAAAAUAGGUAACUAUUUUUAAAAAUUCAUAGCACUUUUUUUUAUGCGAACCUCAAUCAACACGAUUUGAGACCCAACAAAUAGUAUUGGAAUAAUGCCCAAGAAAGCUAAAAUACAAAUUUUUGAUAGAACCCUGACCCAAUGCUUAUAAGUGAAACGCAAACCAAAAGUAUAAGUAACAGACCUUGACCCAAUGAUUACAAUGGAAUCACGAACCAAAGGUAUAAGGUUUGAACGCCACAAGGAAGAAUCUCUGAUAAGUUCACAGUUUUGAAGAACCAAAAGAAGAGCAAAGCCUCACCUUUUCUGAUUUUUUAUUCAAUUAAAAUUAUCCCCCAUUACAAUGAGUGCAUGCUAUUUAUAUGUCAUGAAAAAAACUUAUUAAAUAUUAAAACCCUAAACUAAAAAAGGUACUAAAUAUUAAAACCCUAAAUAAAGGUUGAUUUGGUCAGAAAUUAGCAGAUCCAAAAUAGGAAAAUAGCUAAAAAAACGUUCUAAAUAAUAAAAGCUUAAAAUUAAGGUAGAUUUGGCCUGAAUUUAGAAGCUCUAGAAUAGGAAAUAAUUGAUAUGAAGUUGGAAAGUCAACCAGUCAUUAAUCCAUGCCAUAAAUCAUGCCCAAUCAAGCCAAAUUAGCCCUCAAUAGCUUGGAUUAAAUUUAUUACACAUUCAUCUUCCUUUAGGCCAAACUUGGACUAUCUUGCGUUAGAAUCAAUCCAAAUCUCUUGAAGUAUCCCAUUAAGUUCUUUUUUGAUCUUCUUAGAUCUUGCUUUAGUAAUAAGCCCAAUUGGAACAUGCAAUGGAUCCUUGAAUGCUUGUUGAUUCUCAUCAUUUUUUGUCAUAGUUUUUAUUUCUAAUUUUUAGAAACAAAAGAAAAUAGAGAAUAUUUUUUAAAAGAGAAGUAGAAGUUGUUUUUACUAGUUUAUAAAAACAAAGUAAAAACAUAAAGAAAUUUAAAGAAAAAAAAAUCAUAAAAAGACAAAUAAAAUCGUAUAUGAUAUAUUUCUUUCUCUCUCUAUAGAAAUUGAAAAUCUUCAAAUAUGAUAUUCCUUUGAAUUAUUUAUAUAAAAUUGUAUAUGAUACUUUUCCCAACCACUCCACCCACUCUCUCUCCUUUUUGCCCAUACCACUCACCUAGGAGACUCAUACCCCUUUUCCUUAGGAAUGGCAAUUUUUUGGGUAAUUCGGGUCACCCGCCCCGCCCCGCUCCUACUGGGACGGGUAUGAGAAUAUCCUAUUUGGACAUAGAACAGGUUUGGGGAAUAUAUAAAAACCCGAAUCAGGUUUAGGGCGGGGAUGGGUUUUGCAGUUUCCGCCCCGUCCUGUAUGUGAAUUACCAAUUUACCCUUAUGUCAUUACAAAAUACCCAAAAAGUCUUUCAUAUAUAAUCAUUUCUUCCUCAAGUUUUAGGGUUAUUUCACUCGUGAGAGAGUCAAAGGGCUUUCGCUCUUAGAGGGCUUUCGUUCUCAUUUCUUCCCGUUUUCUCAUUCUUCCUAAAUUGCUCAGGGUUCUUUUGCUUGUAAGAGGCCUUUCGUUUUCUCAUUUCUUCCCAUUUUCUCAUUUAUUCCUGAAUUGUUUCUUCCCGUUUCACCCUAAAAGCACAAUUUUUGCUCUAAAAACCAAACUACCAAAUUCGUAGACAACAAAUUAUUAGGGUUUCUAUGGAUUCCUCAUUUCCAAGUAAGAAAACCCUAAGUUUUGAGGUUUUGUUAGAAAUGUCUUGUUUUUCAUAUUUUCUGGUUUUGGUUGAUGGAUUUGAGAUUUUUUGGGUUGUUUAUUUGUAGAUCUAUGCAUUUUGUUCUUGUAUGUGCAGUUUGCAAUUUUGUUGCACAACAAAUGCUUGAUUAAAUGUGUUUAUGAUAACCCAGAUAACGUUUAUUGAAAUUUCAGAGACCCAUGUUCUGUAAAAGCAUAAUUCCCGAAAAUGCAUUUGGGACAGGGAUGAGAUUAUCAGCUCUUUUGUAAACGGGCAUAGGGAACACCAACUCGCCCCGCCCCGGGUUUGGGACGGGGAUGGGAAAAAACAUAUAUAACCGGGAUGGAAAUGAGGUAAGGGUGGCCCGUCCCAUACUCGCCAUGUUGCUAUCCCUACUUCUCCUCUUUUUUUUUUUUUUUUCUUUUCUUUUCCCAUUUUUUUUUUUUUUUUUUGUUGUUGCUCUUCUUCUUCUUCUUCUUCCACAUUGUCCCAUAGCCUUCUCUCCCUCCCUUUUUCUCCCAUUCUUUUUGCUCACAUUUCUACUCUUCUUUUUUUUUUCCAAAAAAAUCUAUCACUCCUCACCACCGCCAAUAAGACCACCAACCAAUCACCGUCAGUGAACCAUUGCCGACAACCCCCUUCUCUUCUCUCACUUUCUCAUCUCACUCAUUUUCCGUUUUUAUUAUUCAUUUUAUUUUAUUUUCCUUUUUCCUUUUUUUUCUUCUUUCUUUCUUUCUCCCUUUAACUCCAUUGUCGGCCACUUGCCGCCAGCUAACAAUUCCGACAACCCAUAGAUUCUUCAAAAAAAAAAAAUGUGUAAGCCCAUUUAUGUAUUUCUUUAUUUUAUUUUUCUUAUUAUUAUCAUUUUUUUUUUUGUUUGUGAGAUUUGAAUUGUUGAAUUAAUAUGAAAUUUGGGCUUUGUUAAUUAAUAUAGAAUUUAGGUUGUGGAUAUAUUCCAUUUUUUGGUUAAUUUGAGGUAUUUGGAUUAGGCCAAUUCCAUAUUGUUUACCUUAUUUGGACUUACGGCUCAUUGUUUAUUGAUUAUUUAUUUGGCUUAUUGGAUUGGGAUUGAGACCUUAUUUCCUUUGGCCUUGCAUAUUAUUAAUGUGGGCUUGUUAAAUAAUAUGAAACUUGAGCUCAUUUGUUGUGGAUAAAAUUUGUUGGAUUGGAUGAUAAUUGAUAUGAGUUUUAUCCAUUUGAAAUAUGUAAUUGGGGCAUGAGACAAUUGUGGUAUAUUUUGGAUGUUAUUUCGAGUUUACAUAUUAAAUUGGGCUCAAUUAUUUUGGAUUAUGGGAUAUUGAAUUUAGGCCUAAUUGAAUUUGUUUUAAUUAUCAAAUUUUUGGGUUUGGUUGAUUGUGUUUGUAUUUUGGUUAUUAAUUUGAAAUUUUUUUGUUAAGACCUAUAACAUGUGAGAUAUUUCUAUUGAGUUAUAUUUGCUAAUUUAGACUCAUUUUGAUAGACGAAAUUUAUUAGACUAAUUUGAAUUUUGAAUUUGGGUUUGAAUAUUUGUUUGGGAUUUUGUACAUUUUUUUUAUAUUUAUGACAUGUGGAGUAUGAAAUUUUAUGAAAGAAAGUGAGACUCAAAAAGUUGUAUGAAGACAUUGAACUUGUUGUAAGCUUGUUGGGGUAUCCAUUUUAUUUCCCGCUUUUAUUUGGUUUAUUUUUAUUAAUUUUUAUAAAUAUUUGUUUGUGUAUAAUUACUCAUUGUGUACAUAAUUUAAUAUCAAACAAAUCAUAAAUUUUGUUUAAAUAAGAGGAACAAUUCAGUAAACAUGUUUUAAUAAAAUAAUAGUUCAUAAAAUAUUCUUUUUAAUAAAAAUAAGUUUUCAAAAUGUUUUUAGGAAAAUCUAGAAAAUUGUUUUUAAUAAUAAUUGUUUGACAAAAAAUGGUUUUUUAAAUAAAUUCUAUUUUCUUAAUUAGAUAUGAUUAAAAGUAAUUUUUUAUAGAUAAGGGUCUUAAAUAAUUUUUUUAAUAAGAAUGAAAUUUGCAAAUCGAAGUUGUAGAAAUCAUUUUUUAAUAAAAUUGGGUUGAAAAUAUUUUCAUAAACAAAGUUUGUAAAGAAAUUAAUUCAUUUUGUAAAUAAAGAUGUAAAAAUUCAUUCAUUUUUUAAUAAAAACAAAAAAAAAAAUAUUUUUUUUUGUCAAAUUGAAAUUUUGUAAUAAAUUGUUUUGAUAAGAUAAAUGUAUACAACUUUCUUGAAAAGAAAAAUUGAAAACAAAUAAAGAUGAAUAAAAUCAUUUAUUGAAAAUAAAUGGAAAUUUUUUUUUUUUUUGUAAAUAAUUAAAUUGAAAUCAUCAAUUCAAAAUUGUUUUAAUAAAAUCCUUUGAAAUUAAAAAAAAAAAAUCAUUUUUUAAAAUAUAUUUUUUAAUCCAUUCAAUCAAUCAAUUUGCAUAAUUCUUUUGUCAUUUAUUUUGUGUAUUCUUGUAAUUAGAUUUCAUCAUUAUUUUUUUAUAUAUUGAUUUUCACUAUGACUUGUAAAUACUCAUUUAUGUUAUUAUUUUUUUUUUUUGUAUUCAUAAUUAAUUAAUUAAUUUUCACAAUUCCCUUGAUUCGUUUAGUAGAGACCAUAUGUAUACGGGCUUAGAAGAGUGUUACAGCUCACCACCGUACCUUUCCAAUAGGUAACCUAACCCACGGAUCUAGACUCGGUUUUUCAUAAACCUGUUUUUCCUUCAGGAGUCACACUUAGAGUUUUUCUUUUUUAUUUUGUUUUUCCCUUUAAAAAUAAAAUAAAAAUAAGUGGCGAGUCCAAGUCUUUUUUUAAAAUCAUAUUUUCACCAAAUGAAAAGCAAAUCUCGUUGUUGAGUGAGGAUGCACAUGAAAAAUGUGGGUCCAUAGUGUUAUAUUCAUCAACAAGUAUGAUAAUUUAAAAAAUAAAUCAAUUUGAAAAUCAAAUGGUAACCAAUUAAUACAAAAUAUUUAUAGAUAAAAAUUGUUUCACAAAUACUCUAUUAUUUCCUUUUUUUUUACACAUAAUUAUUAUGAAAUUAAGGUCUGGUUAAUCUCGAUUUUGAUGAUAACAAAAUAAGGUUUAGAACUAAUGAUUAUAUUUCAAGUGUGAUUAGGCAAGACGAUUUCCAAAGUGGCAAUCACAAAGACAAAUCAAGCCAAGAAGAAAUCAUAAAGAAGAAAACCACCUCAAAGAGAAGUGUUUUUCAAGACCCAAGCUUCAUAAGAUCUCUUUGUAAGGUUGUUGGUGCACUAGGAUUUUCAUGCUUUACAUUUUUUACUUAUGCACCAAAAUCAUCCCAGAAUUAUUUUGUUUUAAAUAUUUUAAAAUUUGAUGAUUUCAUGUUUUCAACUAAAACCUUGUGUCAAAUGUUUUUCAAACUUGUUUAAAAGGUUUUAAAUUGAAAAAGUUGGUUGUUGAGCCAAAAAUGACUCAAUCGGUUGAACCAAAUGAGGAACCAAUCGACCCCUAGCUCAACCGAUCUAGGAGCAGGUCGACCCCCAGUUCAACCUGUCAAUGGUGUAAACAGUAACCGAUUAACCCCUAACUCAACCGGUCGAGGGGUGCAAAAAACCUUAUCUCUCUUCUAGAAUGGUUGUUCAACUUGAUGAGGAACUGGUCGAGGUCCAACGGUCACCUGCCAAGCAUUAAAUGCUAAUGGUUAGUCAACCGAUCGACCCCCAACUUGACUAAUCAAACCUCCAACGGCUAGUUUGGCUUUUUUCCUCUAUAAAAAGGCUCCAAAUCUUCAUUGUUUAUGAGCUCAACCUUCCCAAACCUUUCUUGAAUAUAUUUGAGCCUUGGAAGAGUGUUUUGAGUGCACCAUUGUUCUAAAACUUGCAUAUCAUUAGUGCAUCAUUCAAUUCUAGUUUUCUUGUAUCAUUUGAGCUUAAAUUUUUGUACUAGGAUAUUGUGAGAUCAAUUAUUUAUAUAACUUUGAGAGGAAGAUUCUCAAGUGUGGGGUAUCACUUAGGAGGUUGUUCAAGAGUGGGGUAUCCCUUGAGAAUUGUAAAGGGUGCUUGGAGUCAAAAGUCCAAAAAAGUGGAUUGGAACCAUAAUCCAAUUGUAUUGCUUGAAGGCUUGGUUUGGAAGCCUUGAAUUAGUGGAACCUCAAGCUUGGGAUUGAAGCUAGAAGAGAGUGAAUGUAGGUCGGGUUGCGCCGAACCACUAUAAAAUCUUGUGUUUGCAUUCUCUCUUCCCUAAUCUUUUACUUUAUAUGCAAUUGUCUUUAUAUUAUUCUGUUUAUAUACUUGCAUAUAAUUGUCUCUUGCAUUCACAUAGCUUAAUUUUGCAAAAAAAGAUCAUCCCCCUAUUCACCGCCCCUCUUUCGGGUGAUUACCAUAGGUUGGAUUAACCCAAUUUUUCUAACAAUUAUAAUAUUACUAUUUACAUUUUUACUAAAAACUAUUUAUUUGUAAAUUAUAAAUUUUUUUUCAUUUUUAAUUACACAUCAAUUAAAUUCAAUUAAUAUAAUUAAUAUUAUGCAAAUUGAAUUUAUAAUACAAAAAUCAAAAUAAAAAAUUAUUUUUAAAAAACAAUCUGCGAAAUAUCCGUAUUUUUGUAAAAUACUUAAAAAGAAUAAAAAAAGAGAAACUCUAUUUUCUUUUUAUAAACUUAAAAACAGUUUUUUUUUUAAAACAAACAUUACAAAACAUGGUCACUCGGGUCUUGAGGCCUCUAUCAACAUGUUUUGUUUGUUUUGUUUCCUUUAUUGCCCAAUUUUUGUGUAAGCUCUAAAUAAUGCCUCUUUCAAUCCUUUCCAAUUCCUCUGUUCGUGCACACUUUUUUUUUUUUUUAUGUUGCCAUGUAGGCAACAGUAUAGUUCUUGAUCCCCCAAUCAGAGAAAACUAAAAAAUUAUACAUAAUUCUUUGCUCCACUACUAAUGCAUUACAUCAAUAUCUGUCAUUAAUUAACUCUUACCACACAAAUUUUAUGCAGCAAUUGCCAUGAUUUUUGUACACUAAGAUCACAUACCAACCCCUGCACAUGCAUACACAUUGCUUUUAUUGAGAGAAUGGUUUCACACAUUUGAAUGUGGCAACAUUGGGAAGCAUCUUCAUUGUUUCAUUGCUUCAAUAAAGGUUUUGAAAUUUCUGUAAGAAGAUCCGCCUUCGCUUACACUCUUUCUAGCCAUUUCCUUCAACUUCUCUGCAUUUGCUUUUAUACCAUCAUCAGAGACCAACUUUUCAAUCUUCAUCUUAAUCUCAUGCCUCGAUAUGAAUCCAUUUUUAUCUGGGUUCAACCCCAAGCCCACCUUCCAUUUCUCGCAUAUGUAACUCUGGUUAUGGAAUUGAUCUCCUAAGUAGGGCCAGCAUAGGAAGGGGACUCCCAUGCCUAUGCCGCCCAUGGUUGAGUUCCAUCCACAAUGGGAAAAGAAACAUGCAACAGAAGGGUGAGCUAAAACCUCUUCUUGGGGUGCCCAUGAAACAAUCUUUCCAUGGUCAGCUACUCUCUCUAUGAAACCAUCUGGGUAUUCAGCAGCUGAUUCAUCGGUGAAGUCUGAUCGGACAACCCAUAAAAAUGGCCGCCCUACAAGUUCAAUGCCAAGUGCUAAUUCAUUGAAUUGGUGCUGGGUUAAGAUUGUAAAGCUGCCAAAGGCAACAUAAAUGACUGAGCCAGCAGGUUGUUUAUCGAGCCAGCCUAUGCAAGUUGAAUCCUCAGGCCAAAAGUUUGCAGCAUAAUGACCCGGAUCACUACUUGCAAGUAACGGGCCAAUUGGUAAUAAGUUAGGAAUCAAGUCACAAGCAGAUGAGUCAAGUUCGUAAACACAGUUGCAAAGAAGCCACUUGGAAGAAUCCAUAAUUUGAAUAGAUGUGAGAUAAAGUCGGAAAACCGACUCUUGUAUCUUUAGAUCAAUUGGCCACUGCCAGGGCAAGCUGUUGCUGCUCAAGACUGGAAUACCCUUCGACACGCAGAUCAACUCAUCAUUCAGAGGAGAUCCUGCAGAGAUAUUUGAAUCGUUUCUAUCAAAACCAAGAAAUUUCUUAGACAACAAAUUAAUUUUAGAAAUAUGAUAUAAAUUAACAAGUUGAAGCCUUAAUACCAUCAGUACUAUUUACGAUUCCGGCCUCAAUUAGUUUUGGAAUAUGAAGUGCCAAAGCCCAGAUUCCUGCUCCCAUAGGACAAAAAGGGACCCCUUCGAUUCCCAUCUUCUCUGCCACCUCCAUUGGCCACCGCUCAAGUGUUAUGUCAGCAAUAACACAAGUGAUCUGCUCAUCAUCAUUCGAGUGGUUUACUUUCUCAAUUAAAUCCUUCAAAUGACCCGGCAUGACUCUUGAAAUACUUUCUGUUAACUUGAGCAUGUUUUUCCGAUCGUCCCCUGGAUCCAGACCAUCUGGGAUAGAGGCUAGCCCUAUCCCACUCCGAGCCUCAGCUUCAUGUGGGAGUGCAGCCAGCAGUUUAGCAUGUAUGAAGUCAGAGUUCACAAAGGUGACCUUGAUCCCAUGAUCAGAAAUCCGGUGUGCAAGCUUCAUAAGAGGAGCAACAUGUCCUUGCGCUGGGAGCGGUAUAAUCAGCACAUGAGGUCGCCUGCCCAUGGUCCUUGCUAACUUGCCAACACUUCCACCCUUCUCUUUGUUCUGAUCCCAAGCUUCACUAGUACUGAUACUGUUUUAUUAGCCUGAGCCCUCCAUGGAACUGUAUUUAUGAAUUUUAUACCUAUUGCCCUCCUAAUUGAGGUGCAAAACUUUUGUCCCUUUCAAAAAACAAAGGGAAUAUGAAGUCCUCGCUAGCUUUUUCAACAAUGAAAACUAGUGGAAGUUCACCGACACUAGAGAUGGAAAACCCUCGUCUCAGAAAUGCAAGGAAAGGGAAGACCGUCCGCCCACACAUAUGCUUCCACAGCUUCGCAAAACAUAGCCCUAGCUGCUGCAUUAUUGGCCUUAGAAACCAGCCGCCAGACCAGCCCAACACGUGGUUUUGAAAAAAAAUUCUUCCCUGGGCUGGAACCCAUAUACGGGCGGCAAGCCCAACAAAGUCCAUCUCUGAUUUAUGAAUUUCUUUUAUUAUCUCAAAGCUAUGGGUUUGUGGGUCUGGCCCACACUUAUUGUGGUGUAAUCUGCUACGUGGUUAAUUUGUCUAUAUAGUGUCCUCUAUGGCUCUGGAAGCAUAUUUAAGAAUUUCAUUUAAUUGGCUGCCUUUCAUCUCACAGUUUUAUAUGACUGUUAACGUUUAAGACAAAUACGUAUCACUGUUGUGACUAAGCUUCUCAGGCAGUUUUUUCUUCUUUUCUAGUGUUGCUUAUGCAUCAAGAUAUAUAUCUUUUGUUUUAUAUGAUGAGGAAGUCAUCAUCACGUUUUUCCUUUGUCUUUUACAUACAAACUCUUAUGUAGCUUGAAUCUCGUCUUUUGUAUCAUCAGCUGUAUUUGUCUGUUUCUGUUAUUAAUAAGCCUGUAUUGAUGUUGCUGAGCCCUCCCUUCUACUGUAUUUGUGUAUUUCAUACAUUAUCUAAAAGCUAAAGUCUCUGAUUAUCUUGGUAUUUUGUCUUUUUUGCCACUUGUCUUGGUAUUUUGUCUUUAUAAAGUGUCUUAUGUAGCUCUCCAUUGCCACUUAUCAAAAGUCUCAUUAAAAUAUCAUUUUUGCUCUCAUACCAAGUUGAAAUCCAAAAAAAGAUUCAAAGAGAAAAAGAUUGAGAAAAAAAAUUAGGAUUUCUUAUUAUAAAUUCUCUUAAAAAUAACUCUAACACCAUUAGAAUUUAAAUAAACCUAAUAAAAGAAAAUAAAUAUUAUUUUACUCUUACUUCUAAAAAAAAAAAAAAAUUCUAAUGUUGUAACUAAAUAUAUAAUAACUAAAUAGUAUAUAAUUCUAAUAUAUUAACUAAAUAUAUUAGUAACUUCUAACACCUUUUACCAUUGGAUGUUGUGAACGGGCCAUUUUAAAUAAUAUUUCUUUGAUGUGAUAAUGAGUUUGAUAUUUUAGUAAAAUAUAGUCGGACUUAUUUUGGUUCUUUGAUUAUAAACUAACAUUUGGUGAUACUCCAAAUGCAAUAUUUGAGUGUAUUAUUUUUUGCUAUGAGUAUUUUAAAUUAUGGUUAGAUCUUAGAGGUCUUUUUCAUAAGUAUAAUUGAUUAUAAUAUUAUUGUAAGACAUUUGAUAAAACCUAAUACAUAAUACUUAAUGAUUUAAGAUGAGUUUAAGUUAAAUUAUAUUUAAGUUAUUAAAUUAAUAGAGCAAAUUAAUGUCUUCAAAUUAUUUUUAAUUUUAAGUUACAAUAUUUAUUAUGAUUAAUAAUUUAUGUGAUAAUUAGGUCUUUAAGAUAAUGUAUCUAAUAAAUUUCUUUUACUUAGAUAAUCUUAUGAGGAGCAAACCUUGGCAUUCACUCUCACCCUUUUACAAAGCUUUACUUUCUUGAUUUUCCAAGGGUGCUAUCGUUGAAACAUGACGGUUUUGGAGGCUAUGUUGUUGAAUGUCCCAAAACCAUAUUGGAUUAGUUUCACUAUCACUUAGAACCCUUGGGUUAGAGCCCAUUUGACCAUAUACUAUACUUAUUUUUAGAAAUUGUCUUGAAGUUAAAAAAAAAAUAUAGUUUUUAUUUUCUAAAAACAAUGGUGUUUAGCAACUUUGUUUUUAAAUACACUUUUAAAAAAAUAAAAAACAAAAAUUUGUUUGGAUUUUUUUUUUUAAUAUUCUGAUUUUAUAAAAAAAAAAAUCAUAGACUUAAUGUAUAUAAUAUUAAUUAAAUUUAAUUCAUGCCUUGGUAAAAAUAAAAAUAAUUUUGUACUUAGAAAUAAAUCAUAUACAUGUAUAGUUUUUAGUAAAAUAUGAGUAGUAAUAAUAUUAUAGUAAAAUUAUAAGUUAUAUUUUUUGGUAACAAAAUAUACUAUUUUAGUAUAUGUUAUAAAAUUAUGGACAUUAAUAUUUUCAUAAAAGCAUUUUUUUUUUCAAAAUAAAUAAUUUGUUUUUAUAUUAUUUGUUAAAUAUGGGUCACUAUUUGAAUUUCAAAUUAUUUUUAAAAGUUACUAAACUUAUUAAUAAAUUAAAUGGAAUAAGUCUUGGUUGAUUUGAAGUAUAUUUGUGUGAAAAAAAAUAGAAGGAAAUAUGAUUUUAUGAAGAAAAGAAAAAUGAGUUAUUAUGAAUUAAUUUUUGUCCAUAUAAUUCUUGUAUUAAUUGAAUCAUUAUUUGAGUUUUAAACUAUUUUUAAAAUUUUUGUACUCGUUGAUAAAUCCAAUACAUCAAGUUUUACUUGAUUUGAAGUUUAUUUGCCUACUAAACAGAUUUGAAAAAAUAUAAUUAUAUGUCAAAAAAAUAAAAAUAAAACUUAGGAAAGUUAUUCAAAAUUGGAUUAGCUUUUAGUUCCAAGAUUUUCUAAUAUUAUUGGUUUUUUAGUCUUGAAUUAUUUUUAAAAUUUUGAAAACACAAAAAUGUUUUAAAAUUACAUGGUCAAACAAACUAUUAGGCCCAAUUUGACUUUGUGAUUUAAAAAUAGAUAACUAUUUUUAAAAAUUCAUAGUAAUGUUUUGGUCAUUGUUUUUAUUUCCAAUUUUUAGAAACAAAAGAAAAUAGAGAAUAGUUUUAAAAAGAGAAGUAGAAGAUAUUUUUACUAGUUUUUAAAAACAAAGUAAAAACAUAAAGAUAUUUAAAGAAAAAAAUCAUAAAAAAAACAAAUAAAAUUAUAUAUAACAUCUUUCUUUCUCUCUAUGGAAAUUGAAAAUCUUCAAAUAUGAUAUUCCUUUGAAUUAUUUGUAUAAAAUUGUAUAUGAUACUUUUCCCAACCAUUCCACCCACUCUUUCUCUCUUGUUUAUACCCUUCACUGCCCCACAUCCUUCUCUUCCUCCCUUUUUCUCUCAUUCUUUUUGCUCACAUUUCUACUCUUCCUUUUUUUUUUCUUUUUUUCUUUUUUUUUUUUGUUUUCCAAAAAUCUAUCACUCCUCACCGCCACCGGCAGGACCACCAACCAAUCAUCGUCGAUGAGCCAUUGCCAGCAACCCCCUUCCCUUCUAUCACUUUCUCAUCUCACCCAUUUUCCCUUUUUAUUAUUCAUUUUAUUUUGUUUUCCUUUCUCUCUUUUUUUUUCUUCUUUCUUUCUUUCUCUCUUUAACUCCACUAUCGGCCACCCGCCGCCAUCUAACAAUUCCAGCAAGCCAUAGAUUCUUCAACAACAAAAAAAAAAUUGUGUAAGCCCAUUUAUGUAUUUCUUUAUUUUAUUUUUCUUAUUAUUGUCAUUUUUUUUUUUGUUUGUGAGAUUUGAAUUGUUGAAUCAAUAUGAAAUUUGGGCUUUGUUAAUUAAUAUAGAAUUUAGGUUGUGGAUAUAUUGCAUUUGUUGGUUAAUUUAAGAUAUUUGGAUUAGGCCAGUUGCAUAUUGUUUACCUUAUUUGGACUUGCGGCCCAUUGCUUAUUGGUUAUUUAUUUGGGCUUAUUGGAUUGGGCUUGAGACCUUAUUUCCUUUAGCCUUGUAUAUUAUUAAUGUGGGCUUGUUAAAUAAUAUGAAACUUGAGCUCAUUUGUUGUGGAUAAAAUUUGUUGGAUUGGAUGAUAAUUGAUAUGAGUUUUAUCCAUUUGAAAUAUUUAAUUUAGACAUGAGACAAUUAUGGUAUAUUUUGGAUAUUAUUUCGAGUUUACAUAUUAAAUUGGGCUCAAUUAUUUUGGAUUAUAGGAUAUUGAAUUUAGGUCUAAUGGAAUUUGUUUUAAUUAUCAAAUUUUUGGGUUUGGUUGAUUGUGCUUGUAUUUUGGUUAUUAAUUUGAAAAUUUUUUGCUAAGACCUAUAACAUAUGAGAUAUUUUUAUUGGGUUAUAUUUACUAAUUUGGGCUCAUUUUGAUUGAUGAAAUUUAUUGGACUAAUUUGAAGUCUAAAUUUGGGUUUGAAUAUUUGUUUGGAAUUUUGUACAUUUCUGGAUAUUUAUAUUUGAGCUAUUUUUGUUUUUGCAUAGACCCAUUCUUCAAUUUUAUUUUCCAUUUUUAUUUGAUUUAUUUUUAUUAGUUUUUGUAAAUGUUUGUUUGUAUAUACUUACUCAUUGUGUACAUAAUUGAAUAUCGAAAAAACAAAAAAAAAUUAUUUAAAUAAGAGGAACAAUUCAUUAAACAUGUUUUAAUAAAACAAUAGUUCAUAAAAUAUUUCUUUGAAUAAAAAUAAGUUUUCAAAAUGUUUUUAGGAAAAUUUAGAAAAUCGUUUUUAAUAAAAUAAAAAAAAUUGUUUUUAAUAAUAAUUGUCUCAAAAUUGUUUUGUAAAUAAAGUUAUCCCAAAAUUCAUUUUUAAUAAAAUUGUCCAAAAAUGUUUUUUUAAAUAAAUUAUAUUUCCUUAAUUAGAUAGGAUUAAAAGUAUUUUUUUAUAGAUAAGGGUCUUAAAUAAUUUUUUUAAUAAGAAUGAAAUUUGCAAAUCAAAGUUGUAGAAAUCAUUUUUUUUUAAUAAAAUUGGGUUGAAAAUAUUUUCAUAAACAAAGUUUGUAAAGAAAUUAAUUCCUUUUGUAAAUAAUGUUGUAAAAAAUCAUUCAUUUUUUUAAUAAAAGCAAAUAAAAAUAAUUUUUGUUGCCAAAUUGAAAUUUAUAAUAAAUUGUUCUGAAAAGAUAAAUGUAUACAACUUUCUUGAAAAGAAAAAUUGAAAACAAAUAAAGUUGAAUAAAAUCAUUUAUUGAAAAUGAAUAGAAACUUUUUUUGUAAAUAAUUAAAUUGAAAUCAUUAAUUCCAAAAUUGUUUUAAUAAAAUCCUUUAAAUCUUUUUUAAAAAAAAUCAUUUUUUUAAAUAUCCUUUUUUAAUCCAUUCAAUAAAUCAAUUUGUAUAAUUCUCUUAUCAUUUAUUUUGUAUAUUUUUUUAAUUAGAUUUCAUCAUUAUUUUUGUGUAUAUUGAUUUUCACUAUGACUUGUACAUACUCAUUUAUGUGAUUAUAUUUCUUGGUAUCCAUAAUUAAUUAAUUAAUUAAUUGUUACAAUUCUCUUUAUUCGUUUAGGAGAGACCGCAUGUAUAUAGGCUUAGAGGAGUGUUACAGCUCACCACCGUACCUUCCAAAUAGGUAACUUGACCCCCAAACCCAGACUCGGUUUUUCACAAACCUAUUUUUCCUUCAGGAGUCAUACUUAAGGUUUUUUUUUUUUUUCUUAUUUUGUUUUUCCCUUUAAAAAUAAAAUAAAAAUAAUUGACAACUCCAAGUCUUUUCUAAAAAUCAUAUUUUUCACCAACUGAAAAGCAAAUCUCAUCGUUGAGUGAGGAUGCACAUAAAAAAUGCAGGUCCACAGUGUUAUAUUCAUCAAGAAGUAUGAUAAUUUAAAAAAUAAAUUAAUUUGAAACUCAAAUGGUAACCAAUUAAUACAAAAUAUUUAUAGAUGAAAAUUCUUUCACAAAUACUCUAUUAUUUCUUUUUUUUUUUAACACAUAAUUAUAUUUUAAAAAAUUUUAUCAUUUGAUAAAUGAAUUUCAAAUCAAACAACACUUUGUAUUAAAUUUAUUAAUGAGUUUAAUAAUUUUUAAAAAUAAUUUAAAACUACAAAAAUUGAUAUAAUCACUAUAAAAAAUAAUAGACUAAAACUUAUGCAUAAUGAAUUAUGACUUUCCUUUUUCUCUUACAAACACAAUUAUAUUUUUUGAUUUUUUUUCGCCAGUUAAAAGCAUUCUAAAUUGAGAUAUAAUUAAUAAUGUAAAUUCUUUAAUGAAUUUUCUAAUUUUUAAAAAUAAUUAAGAAUUCAAAAGAUCGAUCUAAUUAAUUGCAUAUUAAAUCAAAGCACCAUAGAAAACUCCGUUCAAAAUUAAGUACAUAUGUGCAUGUAAUGAAAACUUUGCUCAUUCACAUGUUAAACAAGUUAAACUUUAUUUGUUUUGGAAUUUAUAUAUAUAUAUAUAUAUAUAUAUAUAUAUAUAUAUAUAUAUAUAUAUAUAUAUAUAUAUAUUAAUUUUGGGAUGAUAUUGCUAUUUAUAUUUUUACUAAAAACUAUUUAUUUGUAAUUAUAAAAUUAUUUUCAUUUUUAAUUACACAUCAAUUAAAUUCAAUUAAUAUAAUUAAUGUUAUGCAAAUUGAAUUUAUAAUAUUUUACAAAAAUCAAAAUAAAAAUUAUUUUUUAAAAAAAAAAAUUUGCCAAAUAUCCGUAUUUUUGUAAAAUACUUAAAAAAAUAAAAUAAAAUAAAAUCUAUUUUCUUUUUUUAAACUUAAAAACAGUUUUUUUUAAACCAAACAUUACAAAACAGGGUCACUCGGCGGGUCUUGAGGCCUCUAUCAACAUGUUUUGUUUAUUUUGUUGCCCAAUUUUUGUGUAAGCUCUAAAUAAUGCCACUUUCAAUCCUUUCCAAUUGCUCUGUUCCUGCACUUUUUUUAAAUGUUGCCAUGUAGACAACAGUAUAGUUCUUGAUCCCCCAAUCAAAGAAAACUCAAAAAUUAUACAUAAUUCUUUGCUCCACUACUAAUGCAUUACAUCAGUAUCUGUCAUUAAUCAACUCUACCACACAAAUUUUAUGCAGCAAUUGCCAUGAUUUUUGUACACUAAGUGUUGUGCCAGCGAAAGCUUUGAUGCCAACGAUGUUAGUUCAAGAACACAAAGAUAAAACAAUCACACAUACGGUACACGAGGUUUUAACGUGGUUCGGCCAACCAUGCCUACGUCCACGGAUGAGAGAGAAUAAUUCCACUAUACAAUAGAGAAUAUUACAGAGGAUAGAACCAGAUACAAUUAUUGGGUUCCCGAAACAUCCCAUGUUUCCCCACUCCUUGUAUCCAUACCUUAUUACGAGCCCUCUCGCUCCACCAGGUACCUCCCGUUCUUCCUCACAUCUCUAUCCACCUCGUAUAGUCUCUAUAGGCCCAUCUCCAUCUCAUAACUUUUUCCCCUCAUGACCUAGAAUAUUUAUAGAGAUAUUUCCAACAACCUUCCUUAUUCUAUAAGGAAGUCUAAUAUUACAAUAAUAUAUCCACCUAGAAAUAUUCUAUAUAAUAUUCUUUACAAAAAAAGGAAUCUAUACUAAUUAGGAAUUUGGGACACUUCCUAACAAUCUCCACCUUGGACCAAAUUACAUGAAGUUAAUCUUCAAUCUCUCCAUGACACAAACCUUUUUGUAUCAUAUCACCACGAAAUAGCAAUCAACUCCACCUUCAGUGAAAAUUCCUUUUGUUUUCAUCUUGUGUGCUUUGUGAUCUUUUACUCUUCCAGAAAUCUUCAACCCAAGCUCUGAUACCAAUUGUUGUGCCAGCGGAAGCUUUGAUGCUAACGAUGUUAGUUCAAGAACAUAAAGAUAAAACAAUCACACAUACGGUACACGAGGUUUUAACGUGGUUUGGCCAACCAUGCCUACGUCCACGGAGUUGCAGGGAUAUCACUAUUAUCAGGGAAGAAUACAGAGUACAACCUGGCGGCUACAAUAUUCUCUAUAUAUAUAUAGCACGGCAACCCUACCAUACUAAAAAACCCUAAUUACAAAAUGUGGUUCCACAAUGGGCUAAAUGGGCCCAACAGGCCUCAAUAAAUCUCCCAUUAAAAAAGCCAUGCAAUAUUAUUCGGGUCGGGUCAUCAAACCGGAUCAAACAAAACUAGGCUCCACAAAGCCCAACAAAUCUCCCACUUGGAGACUAGUCCAAUCACCAACAUCAAACCGCUAUCCUCCAAGAAACGAUCCCUUAUCCUUACAACUCAUCCUCCUGUCCUCAAGCUAGAAGACCAAUUGAAGCUGCGCACAGCUUCAACUUCUCAUANNNNNNNNNNNNNNNNNNNNNNNNNNNNNNNNNNNNNNNNNNNNNNNNNNNNNNNNNNNNNNNNNNNNNNNNNNNNNNNNNNNNNNNNNNNNNNNNNNNNCAUGACACAAANCUUUUGUAUCAUAUCNCACGAAAUAGCAAUCAACUCCACCUUCAGUGAAAAUUCCUUUGUUUUCAUCUUGUGUGCUUUGUGAUCUUUUACUCUUCCAGAAAUCUUCAACCCAAGCUCUGAUACCAAUUGUUGUGCCAGCGGAAGCUUUGAUGCUAACGAUGUUAGUUCAAGAACAUAAAGAUAAAACAAUCACACAUACGGUACACGAGGUUUUAACGUGGUUUGGCCAACCAUGCCUACGUCCACGGAGUUGCAGGGAUAUCACUAUUAUCAGGGAAGAAUACAGAGUACAACCUGGCGGCUACAAUAUUCUCUAUAUAUAUAUAGCACGGCAACCCUACCAUACUAAAAAACCCUAAUUACAAAAUGUGGUUCCACAAUGGGCUAAAUGGGCCCAACAGGCCUCAAUAAAUCUCCCAUUAAAAAAGCCAUGCAAUAUUAUUCGGGUCGGGUCAUCAAACCGGAUCAAACAAAACUAGGCUCCACAAAGCCCAACAAAUCUCCCACUUGGAGACUAGUCCAAUCACCAACAUCAAACCGCUAUCCUCCAAGAAACGAUCCCUUAUCCUUACAACUCAUCCUCCUGUCCUCAAGCUAGAAGACCAAUUGAAGCUGCGCACAGCUUCAACUUCUCAAUAGUGACACCCUUAGUCAACAUGUCUACAGGGUUCUUAGAUCCACAAAUCUUCUCAAGUAUUACCAGUUUAUCCUCAACAAGAUAACUGAUAAAGUGGUAUUUUGUUUGUAUAUGUUUCGACUUUGAAUGAAAAGCCGAAUUUUUGGCAAGAAAAAUUGCACUCUGACUGUCACUGUGUAGAAUGCCCAUCUCCUGCUUCUUACCCAAUUCAUCUAAGAAACCAUGUAGCCAAAUCAUCUCCUUUCCAGCUUCAAUUGCUGCAACAUACUCAGCUUCUGUAGUAGACAAAGUAACAAUCUUCUGUAGAUUUGAAGUCCAUGAUAUAGUUGUACCACCUAGAGUAAAAACAAACCCAGUAGUACUCUUUCUACUAUCAAUAUCACCAGCAAAAUCAGCAUCUACAUAACCCUGCAGUUUCNNNNNNNNNNNNNNNNNNNNNNNNNNNNNNNNNNNNNNNNNNNNNNNNNNNNNNNNNNNNNNNNNNNNNNNNNNNNNNNNNNNNNNNNNNNNNNNNNNNNCCCGUGAGAAACAAAAAAUAUUAGAGAAAAUACACGCCAAAGAAAAAACAAUCACACACAAGACAAUAUUUACGUGGUUCGGCAAUUUGCCUACGUCCACGGAGUUGCAGGGAUAUCACUAUUAUCAGGGAAGAAUACAGAGUACUACAUGGCGGCUACAAUAUUCUCUAUAUAUAUAUAGCACGACAACCCUACCAUACUAAAAAACCCUAAUUACAAAAGGUGGUUCCACAAUGGGCUAAACGAGCCCAACAGGCCUCAAUAAAUCUCCCAUUAAAAAAGCCAUGCAAUAUUAUUCGGGUCGGGUCGUCAAACCGGAUCAAACAAAACUAGGCUCCACAAAGCCCAACAAAUCUCCCACUUGGAGACUAGUCCAAUCACCAACAUCAAAUCGCUAUCCUCCAAGAAACAAUCCCUCAUCCCUACAACUCAUCCUCCUUUCCUCAAGCUAGAAGACCAAUUGAAGCUGCGCACAGCUUCAACUUCUCAAUAGUGACACCCUUAGUCAACAUGUCUGCAGGGUUCUUAGAUCCACAAAUCUUCUCAAGUAUUACCAGUUUAUCCUCAACAAGAUAACGGAUAAAGUGGUAUUUUGUUUGUAUAUGUUUCGACUUUGAAUGAAAAGCCGAGUUUUUGGCAAGAAAAAUUGCACUUUGACUGUCACUGUGUAGAAUGCCCAUCUCCUGCUUCUUACCCAAUUCAUCUAAGAAACCAUGUAGCCAAAUCAUCUCCUUUCCAGCUUCAGUUGCUGCAACAUACUCAGCUUCUGUAGUAGACAAAGUAACAAUCUUCUGUAGAUUUGAAGUCCAUGAUAUAGUUGUACCACCUAGAGUAAAAACAAACCCAGUAGUACUCUUUCUACUAUCAAUAUCACCAGCAAAAUCAGCAUCUACAUAACCCUGCAGUUUCAAACUUGCACCUGUGAAGCAAAGACAUGUAUCUAAUGAACCCUUCAGAUAUCUUAAAAUCCACUUGACUGCCUCCCAAUGCUGCUUUCCAGGCCUACUCAUGAAUCUGCUCACAACUCCCACUGCAUGUGCAAUGUCUGGCCUUGUACACACCAUAGCAUACAUCAAGCUGCCAAUAACUGAGGCAUAGGGCACCUUGCUCAUACACACCAAUGCUGCUUUAGUGACUGUUCUUUGCUUAGUUUGAAAUGACUACCCAAGGGUGUGCUCACUGGUUUAGCUUCAUUCAUGUUGAACCUGCUGAGAACUUUCUUCACAUACUCUGACUGUGAAAGCUUCAAUGUACCAUUAGCCUUGUCUCUAAUGAUUCUCAUACCAAGGAUUUGCUUUGCAGCUCCCAAAUCCUUCAUUGCAAACUGUUUGGACAAUUGCUUCUUCAGAUUAUUAAUCUUCUCAAUGUUAGACCCUGCAAUAAGCAUAUCAUCCACAUACAAUAGUAAUAUGAUAUAAGAAUUGUCAAAGGACUUAAAAUAGCAACAGUGAUCAGCUUCACAUUUCUUGAACCCAAUUCUAUGCAUAAAAUUGUCAAACUUCUUGUACCACUGUCUAGGAGCUUGUUUAAGGCCAUACAAGCUCUUUCUCAGUUUGCAGACUAGAUUCUCUUGUCCCUGAACAAUGAACCCUUUUGGUUAAAUCAUGUAAAGGUCUUCCUCCAAGUCACCAUGAAGGAAUGCUGUCUUCACAUCUAACUGCUCAAGAUGUAAGUUUUCUGCAGCCACCAUUCCAAGUACAAGUCUAAUUGUUGACAUCUUCACAACUGGAGAAAAUAUCUCUGUGUAGUCAAUGCCCUCCUUCUGCUGGAACCCUUUAACAACUAAUCUGGCCUUGUAACGUUUGCUACCAUCAUGCUCAUUCUUUAUUCUGUAUACCCACUUGUUGUGCAAAGCCUUCUUUCCUACUGGCAAUUCAGUCAGUUCCCACGUCUGAUUCCCCAAUAGGGAAUCCAUCUCAUCCUUCAUGGCUAACUCCCACUUGCUUGAAUUCUCAUCUUGCAAGGCUUCAUCAUAACACUCUGGCUCACCACCAUCAGUCAACAGGAGAUAAUUUAAAACAGGUGAAUAACGUUGCGGAGGUCUAAUGUUCCUGGAAGAUCUGCGAACUUCAGCUACAGGUGUACUCAAAUCUACCUGUGAAUUUACAUUCAUUCUCCUUAUCUUCUUCACCCCCUUUUUGGACAGUACUUUCAGUCAAUUCAUCUAAGUUGACAAACUCAGAUUUCUUUUGAUCUAUCUCUGUAACAUCUGACGUUACAGUUGACCUAUCCUUGUACAUAACCUGUUCAUUAAAUAUCACAUUUCUACUUCUGAUGAUUUUCCUGUUUUGUUCAUCCCAAAACCUAUAGCCAAAUUUCUCAUUGCCAUAGCCAAUGAAAAAACAUAUUUUUGACUUUGCAUCAAGUUUACUACGAGCAUCAGAAUCAAUAUGAACAUAAGAAACACAACCAAAAACUUUUAAAUGUGAAAACUUCACCUCUUUACCGCUCCAAACCUCCUCAGGAAGUCUGAACUCCAUGGGAACUGAUGGUCCUCGGUUUAUCAGGUAAGCUGCAGUGCUAACAGCAUCAGCCCAAAAAGUUUUUGGUAGUCCAGCAUGCAACCUCAUACUUCUAGCACGCUCAUUGAGAGUUCUAUUCAUGCGCUCAGCCACACCAUUUUGCUGUGGUGUCCCAGGAAUGGUCUUCUCCANNNNNNNNNNNNNNNNNNNNNNNNNNNNNNNNNNNNNNNNNNNNNNNNNNNNNNNNNNNNNNNNNNNNNNNNNNNNNNNNNNNNNNNNNNNNNNNNNNNNGGACCAAAUUACAUGAAGUUAAUCUUCAAUCUCUCCAUGACACAAACUUUUUGUAUCAUAUCACCACGAAAGAGCAAUCGACUCCACAUUCAGUGAAAAUUCCUUUUGUUUUCAUCUUGUGUGCUUUGUGAUCUUUUACUCUUCCAGAAAUCUUCAACCCAAGCUCUGAUACCAAUUGUUGUGCCAGCGGAAGCUUUGAUGCCAACGAUGUUAGUUCAAGAACACAAAGAUAAAACAAUCACACAUACGGUACACGAGGUUUUAACGUGGUUCGGCCAACCAUGCCUACGUCCACGGAUGAGAGAGAAUAAUUCCACUAUACAAUAGAGAAUAUUACAGAGGAUAGAACCAGAUACAAUUAUUGGGUUCCCGAAACAUCCCAUGUUUCCCCACUCCUUGUAUCCAUACCUUAUUACGAGCCCUCUCGCUCCACCAGGUACCUCCCGUUCUUUCUCACAUCUCUAUCCACCUCGUAUAGUCUCUAUAGGCCCAUCUCCAUCUCAUAACUUUUUCCCCUCAUGACCUAGAAUAUUUAUAGAGAUAUUUCCAACAACCUUCCUUAUUCUAUAAGGAAGUCUAAUAUUACAAUAAUAUAUCCACCUAGAAAUAUUCUAUAUAAUAUUCUUUACAAAAAAAGGAAUCUAUACUAAUUAGGAAUUUGGGACACUUCCUAACACUAAAAUCACAUACCAACCUCUGCACAUGCAUACACAACAUGAAUGCAUUUGCUUUUAUUGAGAGAAUAGUUUCACACAUUUGAAUGUGGCAACAUUGGGAAGCAUCUUCAUUGUUUCAUCGCUUCAAUAAAGGUUUUGAAAUUCUUGUAAGAAGAUCCGCCUUCGCUUACACUCUUUCUAGCCAUUUCCUUCAACUUCUUUGCAUUUGCUUUUAUACCAUCAUCAGAGACCAACUUUUCAAUCUUCAUCUUAAUCCCAUGCCUUGAUAUGAAUCCCUUUUCAUCUGGGUUCAACCCCAAGCCCACCUUCCAUUUUUUGCAUAUGUAACUCUGGUUAUGGAAUUGAUCUGCGAAGUAGGGCCAACAUAGGAAGGGAACUCCCAUGCUUAUGCUGUCCAUGGUUGAGUUCCAACCACAAUGGGAAAAGAAACAUGCAACAGAAGGGUGAGCUAAAACCUCUUCUUGGGGUGCCCAUGAUACAAUCUUUCCAUGGUCAGCUACUCUCUCAAUGAAACCAUCAGGGUAUUCAGCAACUGAUCCAUCGGUGAAGUCUGAUCGGACAACCCAUAAAAAUGGCCGGCCUACAAGUUCGAGACCAAGUGCUAGUUCAUUGAAUUGGCGCUGGUUGAAGAUUGCUAAGCUGCCAAAGGCAACAUAAAUGACUGAGCCAGCAGGUUGUUUAUCGAGCCAGCCUAUGCAGGUCGAAUCCUCAGGCCAAAAGUUUCCAGCAUAAUGACCCAGAUGAUGACUUGCAAGUAAUGGACCUAUUGAUAAUAUGUUAGGAAUCAACUCACAGGCAGAUGAGUCAAGUUCAUAAACAAAGUUGCUGAGAAGCCACUUGGAAAAAUCCAUUUUUUGAAUAAUUAUGAGAAGAGUUCGGAAAAUGGUCUCUUGUAUCUUUGGAUCAAUUGGGCAGCACCAGGGCAAUCUGUUGCUGCUAAAGACUGGGAUAUCCUUUGACAGGCAGAUCAACUCGUCAUUCAGAGGAGAUCCUGCAGAGAUAUUUGAAUUAUUUCCAUCAAAACAAAGAAAUUUCUCAAUACUUCCCUGGUAUCAACAACAAAUUAAUUUUAGAAAAAGUUGAAGCCUUAAUACCGUUAGUGCUAUGUAUGAUUCUGUUAGCAAGUAAAAUCUUUUUACAGUUUAUACUUUAAGUAAACAUUAAAUAAGUAUGUAAAUAAAAUAAAUGAAAUUACAGAACUUACUUUAAUUCUAUGAAUCCGAGCCCAAUGACAACACUGUUUCCUUAAGACAAUUUUAUUCCCUCUCUGGUGCUCAAGGUAGUGAAUAAAUGUCUCCCAAGAUAGAACGGAUAUUCAGUUCUACAAAAGCAGCACUUCAAUCUGUAGAACACCACGAACACAACUUGUGUUUUGUACUCGAACUGACAAAGGAUGCAAAGAAGAGAGAGAGAAAUAUGCAGGAAUUAAUUGAAUCAUUUAAUGCCGGGGUAGAAAAUCUAUUUAUAGACUUCUUGGUGUCUAUUUAGAAUAGGUAUAAACCUAUUCGGAAUAGACACGUACCUGUUUGGAAUAGUCAUUCAAGUGGGUGACUUUGGAGUCAAUUUUCUCAUUCAAUACUUAAUGGAUUUGAACAAAUAAAUAUACCACGUUAUACUCCUCGCGGAAGAGAACGCGUUGGUGUGUGGUCCCGACAUUUUCAGAGUGUGGGUCACACUUUUAAUUAAGCCCCAAGUUGCUCAAUUAUUAUUUUUUUCAAACUCAUUUCCAACAAUCCCCCACAUGAAUGUAAAAUUGGCUUUACAACAUGCAAAAUGAAUACGCAGACACUAGUUCGAGUACAAAUGAAAAGUUACUGCUUCAGACUAAGUGACCAUUGGUCUUGAACUUGCCCUAGUGAAGACUAUCGGAUUUACUUGGCCAGUCAAUAGACGUUGUCUUUGAAUUGCCAGUCGUUGGUGUAAACCAAGACAAUAGAAUCACACAGUACCAUUUCUAACACAGUUGGUUCUCACGUUUGUGUUCAUUUUGGCCUUGAACACCUCUUGGUUCCGUGAGUAUGUUAGAGAAUUUAGCCUUUCAUAAUUCUCAUAGAAGUGGCCCCCUUCUUACUCACGUAGGUGAUUUCUAUUAAGAAUAUCCUGCAAUAUCCCACUUAUGACACAAUUUCAUAAGCUAUAGAAAUCAUUAAAAUCGUAUCUUAUCCUGAUUCUCGCGGCAGAUAUGCACUGUCUCAUCAUAGGAAUGGUUUGGAGUAAGUAUCUCCACAGUGCGUUCUGAGUUCUACAUAGUUCGGUUUGCCCUUUGAACCUAGAUCUUGGGAUCUCCUGUCAGCUAGGUUGGGUUGCCACUAUGAUGACCCUUGGUUUAUUUCAUAGGCUUUAGACCCAUUCCCUUUGAUGAACUUUCUACUUGCUCUCUAGUUAAACCUUUUGUAAGCGGAUCUGCAAUAUUAUCUUUUGACCUUACGUAGUCAAUUGAGAUAAUUCCAUUUGAGAGCAAUUGCCUAACGGUAUUAUGUCGACGUCGUAUGUGACGUGACUUACCGUUAUAGUUAUGACUCUGUGCUCUUCCAAUUGCUGAUUGGCUAUCACAAUGGAUGCAAAUAGCAGGCACAAGUUUUGACCAAUUUGGAAUAUCCUCUAAGAAAUUUCGUAGCCAUUCGGCUUCUUCUCCAGCUUUAUCUAUUGCAAUGAAUUCUGAUUCCAUUGUAGAUCGAGCUAUACAAGUUUGUUUUGAGGAUUUCCAAGACACGGUUGCACCUCCAAGUGUAAACACAUAUCCACUUGUGGAUUUUGAGUCUUUUGAGUCAGAUAUCCAAUUAGCAUCGCUGUAUCCUUCAAGUACAGCUGGAUAUCUUGUGAAAUGCAGUCCAUAAUUUUGAGUAUAUUUAAGGUAUCCCAAAACUCGUAUUAUUGAUUUCCAAUGAUUUUCUCCGGGAUUACUCGUAAAUCGACUUAGCUUACUAACGGAGUAUGCUAUAUCAGGUCGAGUGCAGUUCAUCACAUACAUUAGACUGCCAAUUAUACGAGAAUAUUCUAAUUGAGAUUUUCCUAUGCCAGUAUUCUUAAAAAGAUGAAGAUUUACAUCCAUAGGUGUCUUCUUUGGUCUUAUAUCGUACUUCUUGAAUUUCUCAAGUAUUUUCUCAAUGUAAUGAGAUUGAGAAAGUAUAAGACCAUCAGAAGUUUUUGAGACCUUAAUUCCCAAAAUUAUAUCUGCCACACCUAGAUCUUUCAUAUCAAAUCUACUGGAUAGCAUUUGUUUAGUCAUUUUUAUCAUAUUAGUAUCACUACCAAUAAUUAACAUGUCAUCAACAUAUAGACAUACAAUGACAUAUCCUUUUUGAGUGUUUUUGACAUAAACGCAUUUAUCACAUUCAUUAAUUUUGAAUCCAUUUGAUAUCAUUGCAUUGUCAAAUUUCUCAUGCCAUUGUUUAGGUGCUUGCUUUAAUCCAUAUAAGGAUUUAACAAGCUUACACACUUUCCUCUCUUGUCCAAGAGCUAUAAACCCUUCAGGUUGAUCCAUAUAUAUUUCUUCAUCUAAUUCACCGUUCAAAAAUUCCGUUUUAACAUCCAUUUGAUGUAUUUCAAGAUUGUUUAUUGCUGCUAUAGCAAUUAACAUACGGAUAGAAGUUAUUCGGCUAACUGGUGAAUAAGUGUCAAAAUAAUCCAAUCCUUCCCUUUGCUUGUACCCUUUGGCAACAAGUCUUGCUUUGUAUUUAUCAAUUGAACCAUCUGCCUUCAUUUUCUUUUUGAAAAUCCACUUACAUCCCAAUGUUUUGGUACCUGGUGGAAGAGCCACUAGUUCCCAAGUAUGGUUUUGCAGAAUAGAUUCAAUUUCACUAUUAAUUGCUUCUUUCCAAUAUGAAGCUUCAGGGGAGGACAUAGCUUCUUUGAACGUUUGAGGAUCAUUUUCUAACAAAUAUGUUAGAAAAUCUGGGCCAAACGAAGUUGACUUUCUUGCCCUUUUUCCAUGUCUAGGUUCUUCGUCAACUUGUUUUUCUUUUGAUUCUUGAUUUACUUCUAAUUGAUUAUUACCAAAAGUAAUAUCAUGAGUCCUCUUUUGUGUACUUGUUUCAGAUGACUUGUUAUAUGGAAAAAUAGUUUCAAAGAAUGUAGCAUUCCUUGAUUGUAUAAUUGUAUUAACAUGCACAUCAGGAAUCUCGGACUUAUAAACAAGAAAACGAUAUGCACUACUAUUAUUAGCAUAACCAAUGAAUAUACAAUCAAUGGUUUUAGGUCCUAUUUUAACCUUUUUAGGUUUAAGAACCCCCACCUUUGCCAAACACCCCCACACUUUUAGAUAUUUAUAGCAAGGCUUGUGACCUUUCCAUAAAUCAUAAGGUGUUUUAAGUGUUUUCUUAUGAGGCAUUUUGUUAAGAAUAUAAUUGGCGGAAAGCAAAGCUUCCCCCCACAAAUUCUGGGGUAAACCAGAACUUAACAACAUAGCAUUCAUCAUUUCUUUCAAUGUUCUAUUUUUGCGUUCAGCAAUCCCAUUAGAUUGAGGAGAAUAUGGAGCGGUAGUUUGGUGAAUGAUUCCAUGUUCUAAACAGAACUCCUCGAAAGGGGAUUCAUAUUCACCACCUCUAUCGCUUCUUAUUGCCUUAAUCUUUUUGCUAAGUUGAUUCUCAACUUCAUUUUUAUAAUGUUUAAACAUUUCAAUUGCCUCAUCUUUGCUUUUAAGCAAAUAUACAUAACAAUAUCUAGUGCAAUCAUCGAUAAAAGUAAUAAAAUACUUUUUCCCACCUCUCGUUUGCACAAACUUUAAAUCACAAAUAUCACUGUGAAUUAAGUCUAGAGGUUCAGUACUUCUUUCAACUGAAUGAAAAGGUACUUUUGUUAAUUUAGAUUCUACACAAGUUUCACAUUUAUGAUUAGGAUCAAUAUUAAAUUUAGGUAGAUAAUCUAAGUGAAUUAAUCUACGUAGAGUAUCAUAAUUAACAUGUCCUAAUCUACCAUGCCAAAUAUUAGAAGACUCAAGCAAGUAAGCAGAAGAAUCAAUCUUAUUAUUAUUAAUAGACUUAGGUACAACAGUCAUUACAUUCAUCUUAAAGAGCCCAUCACUAAGAUAGCCCUUUCCUACAAACAUCUCAUUCUUUGUAAGUACAAACUUAUCAGACACAAACACUAAUUUGAAACUAUUUUUGCUAAGCAAAGAUCCAGAAACCAAGUUCUUGCGAAUGUCUGGCAUAUGAAGCACAUCAUUUAAAGUGAGUUCUUUGCCAGAAGUCAUUUUCAAAAUCACCUUCCCACGGCCUUCAACUUUGGAACUAGAAGAGUUACCCAUGAAUAAUUCUUCAUUUUGCUCUACGAGUUUGUAAGUUGAAAACAUCCACUUGUUGGAACAUAUGUGACGAGUAGCCCCAGUGUCCACCCACCAUUCCUUGGUGUUUCCUACAAUAUUGCAUUCGGAUACAACAGCGGAAAGAUUCAUCUCGAAGACAUCAUUUGAAAGUUUAUCAAAUUCUGUCACAUUUGCUUGGGGUUUCUUUUCCUUCUUUGGCUUACGGCAAUCAUUAGACUUGUGACCAGUUUUGCCACAAUUAUAACAUUUGCCUUUGAAUUUCUUCGCCGCAUUUGAUCCUUGAUUCUGAUUUUGAUCACCAUGCUUUCGUUUCUUGUUAGUUUUUGGUCCUUGUUCAAUAACAUUGGCUUUAGCCUCCAUUGAAUUAUUUCUCUUCUUUUCAGAUUUUCGGUUGUCCUCCUCAAUCCUUAACCUCACAAUUAAUUCUUCAAGAUUCAUCUCUUUGCGUUUGUGCUUGAGAUAAUUCUUGAAGUCCUUCCAUAGUGGUGGUAAUUUUUCAAUCACAGCAGCCACUUGAAAUGAGUCACUAAGACUCAUUCCUUUAGAAUGGAUUUCAUGAAGAAUUACUUGCAGUUCUUGAACUUGACUUAUAACUAUUUUGGAAUCGAUCAUUUUGAAAUCAAGAAAUUUGCCGACUAUGAAUUUCUUCAUGCCAGCAUCCUCGGUUUUGUAUUUCUUGUCAAGUGAAUCCCAUAGUUCCUUUGCUGUCUUGAGUGAACAAUACACAUUGUAAAGUGUAUUGUCUAAGCCAUUAAGCACAUAAUUUCUGCAUAAGAAAUCAGAAUGCUUCCAUGCAUCCACGGCAGCAACCUUUUCCUUGUUGGUUUCUCCUUCUUCAAGUAUGGGACAUUCUUCAUGAAGGAACCUUGCCAAGUUCAAUGUGGUGAGGUAGAAGAGCAUCUUUUGUUGCCAACGUUUGAACUCAUUCCCAUUGAAUUUCUCUGGUUUUUCUCCAUGAGUCAAAUUCAUUGUAGGAACAUUGCUUGAAGAUGCCAUUUGAUUUCUGUUACAAAAACAGAAAUGCAGAAAAUUCAGAAUACAAAAUUCUGAUUUAAAAAAAAAAUAAUAGAUGAAUAGAAUAUUUAAGUUUCCAAAUGCAGAAACACAAUCUGAUUUGAAACUUAAGAAUAUAAUAUUUACUGAAGUAUAAACUACAAAAAGUUUUUUUUUUAUUUAAUAAAGUUGUCUUAAGAUUGUUAGCAAGUAAAAUCUUUUUACAGUUUAUACUUUAAGUAAACAUUAAAUAAGUAUGUAAAUAAAAUAAAUGAAAUUACAGAACUUACUUUAAUUCUAUGAAUCCGAGCCCAGUGACAACACUGUUUCCUUAAGACAAUUUUAUUCCCUCUCUGGUGCUCAAGGUAGUGAAUAAAUGUCUCCCAAGAUAGAACAGAUAUUCAGUUCUACAAAAGCAGCACUUCAAUCUGUAGAACACCACGAACACAACUUGUGUUUUGUACUCGAACUGACAAAGGAUGCAAAGAAGAGAGAGAGAAAUAUGCAGGAAUUAAUUGAAUCAUUUAAUGCCGGGGUAGAAAAUCUAUUUAUAGACUUCUUGGUGUCUAUUUAGAAUAGGUAUAAACCUAUUCGGAAUAGACACGUACCUGUUUGGAAUAGUCAUUCAAGUGGGUGACUUUGGAGUCAAUUUUCUCAUUCAAUACUUAAUGGAUUUGAACAAAUAAAUAUACCACGUUAUACUCCUCGCGGAGGAGAACGCGUUGGUGCGUGGUCCCGACAUUUUCAGAGUGUGGGUCACACUUUUAAUUAAGCCCCAAGUUGCUCAAUUAUUAUUUUUUCAAACUCAUUUCCAACAGAUUCUUGCCUCAAUUAGCUUGGGAAUGUGAAGUGCCAAAGCCAAGAUUUCUGGUCCAGAAGGAAAAAAGGGGACCCCCAGGAUUCCCAUCUUCUCUGCCACCUCCAUUGCCCACCACCCAAGUGUUAUGUCAGCAACAACACAAAUGAUUUGCUCAUCAUCAUUCGAGCGGUUAACUUUCUCAAUCAAAUCCUUCAAAUGGCUCGGCAUGACUCUUGAAAUGCUUUCUGUUAACUUGGGUAGAUCUUUCCGAUCGUCCCCUGGAUCCAGACCAUCUGGGAUAGAGGCUAGCCCUAUCCCACUCCGAGCCUCAGCCUCAUGUGGGAGUGCAGCCAGCAGUUUUGCAUGUAUGAAGUCAGAGUUAACAAAGGUGACCUUGAUCCCAUGAUCAGAAAUCCGGUGUGCAAGCUUCAUAAGAGGAGCAACAUGUCCUUGCGCUGGGAGAGGUAUAAUCAGCACAUGAGGUCGCCUGCCCAUGGUCCUUGCUAACUUGCCAACACUUCCACCCUUCUCUUUGUUCUGAUCCCAAGCUUCACUAGUAUGCCUAAAAAUACUAGUGAUGAUGAUGAUGCUAUUUAUGAGAGUCAGAGC